GUAGGGGCUGGCUCAGCUGUAGAGCGCUCGCCUAGCAUGUGCGAGGCCCUGGGUUCGAUCCUCAGCACCACA
rnacentral:tRNA from 1 species